AGACUUUUCUCUCUUCUUAGGCUUCCAGGUCAUCAGGAAGGAGAGGGCAAUUAAGGACACGUGUCCAUCUUUUAUCGUGUCCAUCUUUUAUUUCCGCAAGCCAGUUUUCUUGACUUCAAUUUGGGCCAUUUAUGUUUCUGUAGAAAUGACAAGGCCCAAUCUCUCAUUUGACCAAAAAAGUCCUAACACGUCUCCUUCACUUUGUUUGUUCGUUUCGAUCUGAGGAAUCUUGUCUGUUUCGAUUCCUUUCCCCAGCUGAGAAAUGGCAAUCGUUAUGGAAUUGGAACCUCAAUACCCACUAAUCUGGUUAUGGUCAAGAAAGGUGGAGCGUCGAUGGGUAGUGAUCUGGUCCUGGCUUGAUGGAAAGAGAUUUCGAUGUCAUGUUGUUGUGGAGCUCUAUUUCUCUGAGCUUAAGGCUAGCCGUUGUAGGAAGGUUGUGGUGACAAGGCUUCUUAUGUUUUUGGAAACUUGAAUUAUUAAGAAAUUCUGUUCUCGGAAGCUGGAAAUAAUAAGAGAUUUGAGAGUUGAUGGGCGUCAAUCGAAAGCUAAUUAUUCUUACUGUCUACUUCGAUUUAAAAACCUGUACACUUUCUGGAUUCUUCUUCUUACAAGUGUUCUUAUUUGGCCGCAGUCAACAAAGCAACAUAGCUUCUGCUCAGGCUCUGAGCCACCGAUACCAUCGCUAUGUACAUCAUGUACCUUAUGGCCGUCACAACCCUUCGGUAUUUGAACUGAAAUACUGAUGAUAUGGGUCAGAUGUACGAGCUAUACUUCGAGCUUACUAUUCAGCUUCAUGCAAUUUGAUGAUGCAAUACUUACUGUUGUGCUCUCAGUGUGGAGAAGCAGACUCUUAUUUCUCAAAUCUGCUAAAAUUUUUCCCAACGUACCUGAUUGUUCGGCCUUGAAUCUGCUUGCAUCAAAAGCCUUUGACCUUCCUCAUCCUACCAAGGGCCGAUCAUCUUCGUAGGUACCUUAUUUACGCGUUACUGCUCUCCGAUGAGGCGAUGACCAUACAGCACACUGGAAACAAAAAUACCAAGCCUCUAAAUGUGUCCCAAAUCUCACUACCGGCCUACCGUCUACAGAUAUAGCACGACUCAAGUCGGAGCGUCUUAGAGACCAUGGAGAAGAAGGAACAAAUGCAGUUUCUUAUGAACCUGCUGCAGACAAGACAAGACACCAAGGAGAAACGCUUCGUUGAACCCCUUUUGAUAUGCAAGAGCCCGCACAAUACUCACUCAUUUCUGUUUUCAAUUAAUGAUUAUUCCAAUAGAGGAGAAACAAUUAACACAAAACGUGUGUUGGUUGUUUAGUCUUCAUGCGAGAUAUUCAUGUGAAAUACUAGCUUCUCUUUCACUUUUUUUGGUGCGACGAGUAUGCUGUGAUUAAAUUAUUUGAUUGUGUUGAUUACCUGAUUUUGUUGAGCAUGAAAUUUACUUGCAUAAUUGUAAUAUGAUGCUUGAUUUGUCGUGA